rnacentral:rRNA from 1 species
GACGAACGCUGGCGGCGUGCUUAACACAUGCAAGUCGAACGGUAAGGCCCUUCGGGGUACACGAGUGGCGAACGGGUGAGUAACACGUGGGUGAUCUGCCCUGCACUUCGGGAUAAGCCUGGGAAACUGGGUCUAAUACCGGAUAGGACCCUGGGAUGCAUGUCCUGGGGUGGAAAGCUUUUGCGGUGUGGGAUGGGCCCGCGGCCUAUCAGCUUGUUGGUGGGGUGAUGGCCUACCAAGGCGACGACGGGUAGCCGGCCUGAGAGGGUGACCGGCCACACUGGGACUGAGAUACGGCCCAGACUCCUACGGGAGGCAGCAGUGGGGAAUAUUGCACAAUGGGCGCAAGCCUGAUGCAGCGACGCCGCGUGAGGGAUGACGGCCUUCGGGUUGUAAACCUCUUUCAGCACCGACGAAGCGCAAGUGACGGUAGGUGCAGAAGAAGGACCGGCCAACUACGUGCCAGCCGCCGCGGUAAUAC